UGAAAAUUUCCAUUAAUGUAGCCGUUAAGAGUGCGAUAACAAACUUUGAAAUAUAUCGCCUCAUCUUGCUAUAUCCUAGGAAUAUAAUAUAAUCGAGUGUUUUUACUAUCACUCAGUUAUUUGCAGUAGAUUAUGUAGUAGUUACAGUUUAAUUAAUAGUAGCAAUUAGACUUAUUUUUAUAUUUACUUUGCAAUAUGAAUAAAUAUCGCGGGCCACAAUUGGUCUGCAGGCUGUGAAUUCUAAUGAUAUACUGUAUCUCACUAGAAGUUUCAAAUACUAGCACUAGAGAGCGAAGUAAGCUUUUUUAAUUGUACAAGUAAGUUAUCUAAUUUGUACAAUAAAGUUCUUUAGUGCUAAUAUCAUAGCUUGUAAAUACGCACUUGGAAGUUACUUGCACUAGUUUAACUUUCAAAUUGUACAAGUUAGAUAACUUGUGUAAUUAUAUCGUUAUUAUUAGGAUUUAUAUAUUUCAUCCAGUGGCGGUUAUGUCCCUCUUUCAUCAUGGAAAUAUUCUGGAGAGGCUUGUACAGUAUAGUAUAAUAAAAAAAAAUUUAACAAAACCUUUUUCGUCUUUGUUUUUUUCCAAUUUCUUAACGAAUAAAAAAUACUUGAAUCUAAAGAAACUUUAAACAAAUAUACAGUAAUGUUAAAUCUAAAAAACUUUUUAAAUCGACGUUGAAUUUUAAUAAAAUUUAUUUCUAGCAUAUUUUUCGUCUGUUUAGAAAGCAACAAUGAAUAUUUAGUUUUCCAAUUGCUUUGCUAGCUAUGGAAACAUUGUACAAUAUAUCUUUUCUACAAGUUUUUCUUGCUAUCGUCAACAACGAUAAGGCCACUUGAAGUGCGGACGUGCUAAUAAAGAGAAGAGCAGUUGUUUGUUCUCCUCCAUUUAAACAUUGAGAUAGUGACUGUGGGUCAAGUGGCUGUGAACAACGACUCAAUGAACUCUCUAAAUUGAUAAGAUGCUCGUAUAUAAAAUAAUUAUAUACGCAAACUUAAAUUUAAUUAAUUUAGAAUUGUUUUAGUUUCAUAAAAAUAUUGAAUGAAUCUAGCUUGAGAUUAUGACUUAAAAUUGUGGAAAAUGUCGGUUUUAUGGCAUGAAAACUGAUAACAAACUCAAAAAAAAUUUUCAGUUGUAAAUGUAUUUUGACCUCAUGAUUAACUGUGAAAAUUUAUGUUCCUGGUCUUCACAACCUGUUUAUUCUUUCAUCCUCUACUUAUCUGCCCACUUAUUAGGGUCAGACUUCACAAUUAUAACAAUCCUAUGACUCUACGAGCUGUCAGUAUAAAUAGUGCCAGACCGCUUGCUUUUAACACCAACACUUCAAGUUUUAUGAGCUUAGUGUCAGGUUUCGUCGACAAACUGAACGGGAACGUCGCCAGCUGGCUUGACACCCAACCUGCCAUCUGCCGGGGUUAAUUCUAAUUAUGUCAUGACUUGAGAUCAUGCAAGAUGAUUUAUAACUGUGACAAAAGCUAUUUGAUCGUGUACAUUUUUUAAUAAUAUUUCCUUUCAAAUAAAUUAUAUAAUUAGUAAUUUCGUUAUUAAAAAUUUUGACAAAUUAAUUUCAUCAAUCAGUUUAAUUAGACUUGGCUUAAAAAUUGGGAAUAUUCUGUUCGUAUAAAAUAAC
rnacentral:lncRNA from 1 species